UCCCCCCCCAACCCUCUGCCUUUGUUAUAAGAAAAGCAAGAGGAGAGAGUGACCUCCUGAGCCAAAGGUUUCGACACUGAAUCAAAUCCCUUUAGGCCUGAACUGGCAGGCUGGGCCCGGCGUUGGAUUACUUUAUCACAUCUUAGAGCGAUGCUUAAGAUAGCAAUAGUAAAAGUAAAUGAAUUCCAAACCAAACUUAAGCCUCUACAGACAUUUAUGGAGCAGAACAGGUGAAUUCCAGAGACACUAAGAAACUCUUUCCUGUUAAAUUAAGACAACCUCAGAUGAAAAACCUUUUGAUGUGAAUCACGGAGAUACUGGGGAUGGGACUAAGAGAAUUUUAGUACCUGUUUCCUGAAUUAUAGCUGGGAUG